GACGAACGCUGGCGGCGUGCUUAACACAUGCAAGUCGAACGGAAAGGCCUCUUUCGGGGGGUACUCGAGUGGCGAACGGGUGAGUAACACGUGAGUAACCUGCCCUUGACUUUGGGAUAACUUCAGGAAACUGGGGCUAAUACCGGAUAGGAGCUCCUGCUGCAUGGUGGGGGUUGGAAAGUUUCGGCGGUUGGGGAUGGACUCGCGGCUUAUCAGCUUGUUGGGGGGGGAGUGGCUUACGGAGGCCUUGACGGGGAGCCGGCCUGGGAGGGUGACCGGCCACCUUGGGACUGAGGUACGGCCCAGACUCCUACGGGGGGCAGCGGUGGGGAAUAUUGCCCAAUGGGUGGAAGCCUGAUGCAGCAACGCCGUGUGCGGGAUGACGGCCUUCGGGUUGUAAACCGCUUUCGCUCAUGACGAAGCUUUGUGUGACGGUAGUGGGUAAAGAAGCACCGGCUAACUACGU
rnacentral:rRNA from 1 species